AUUGAACGCUGGCGGCAGGCUUAACACAUGCAAGUCGAGCGGGGGAAGGUAGCUUGCUACCGGACCUAGCGGCGGACGGGUGAGUAAUGCUUAGGAAUCUGCCUAUUAGUGGGGGACAACAUCUCGAAAGGGAUGCUAAUACCGCAUACGUCCUACGGGAGAAAGCAGGGGAUCUUUGGACCUUGCGCUAAUAGAUGAGCCUAAGUCGGAUUAGCUAGUUGGUGGGGUAAAGGCCUACCAAGGCGACGAUCUGUAGCGGGUCUGAGAGGAUGGUCCGCCACACUGGGACGGAGACACGGCCCAGACUCCUACGGGAGGCAGCAGUGGGGAAUAUUGGACAAUGGGGGGAACCCUGAUCCAGCCAUGCCGCGUGUGUGAAGAAGGCCUUAUGGUUGUAAAGCACUUUAAGCGAGGAGGAGGCUACUCUAGUUAAUACCUAGGGAUAGUGGACGUUACUCGCAGAAUAAGCACCGGCUAACUCUGUGCCAGCCGCCGCGGUAA
rnacentral:rRNA from 1 species